UACGUAGGGGGCAAGCGUUGUCCGGAUUUAUUGGGCGUAAAGAGCGUGUAGGCGGCUUUACAGGUCCGUUGUGAAAACUCGAGGCUCAACCUCGAGACGCCGGUGGAAACCGUAAAGCUAGAGUCCGGAAGAGGAGAGUGGAAUUCCUGGUGUAGCGGUGAAAUGCGCAGAUAUCAGGAGGAACACCAAUGGCGAAGGCAGCUCGCUGGGACGGUACUGACGCUGAGGCGCGAAAGCCAGGGGAGCGAACGGG
rnacentral:rRNA from 1 species